CUGCUGCCAAUUAAGCCGACUUGCUCUCUGUUCUAGGGGACCCUGUACAAUGGCUGCAAAGGGCAAGUGACAUCCCGGGCAGUGUAGCAGCCUGUGGCUUGUCUGGGCUAUUCUCAGGGACCUUGGGGACUGUC